rnacentral:rRNA from 1 species
CCCAAGAGAUCGGGAUAACACCUGGAAACAGAUGCUAAUACCGGAUAACAACAGAUGAUGCCUAUCAACUGUUUAAAAGAUGGUUCUGCUAUCACUCUUGGAUGGACCUGCGGUGCAUUAGCUAGUUGGUAGGGUAACGGCCUACCAAGGCGAUGAUGCAUAGCCGAGUUGAGAGACUGAUCGGCCACAUUGGGACUGAGACACGGCCCAAACUCCUACGGGAGGCAGCAGAGGC